AUACGGAGGGGGCAAGCGUUGUUCGGAAUUACUGGGCGUAAAGCGCACGUAGGCGGUGCGUCUCGUCGGGCGUGAAAGGCCUGGGCUCAACCCAGGAAUGGCGCUCGAAACUGACGGACUAGAGUCCGGGAGGGGGUGGCGGAAUUCCCAGUGUAGAGGUGAAAUUCGUAGAUAUUGGGAAGAACACCAGUGGCGAAGGCGGCCACCUGGCCCGGAACUGACGCUGAGGUGCGAAAGCGUGGGGAGCAAACAGGAUUAGAUACCCCAGUAGUCC
rnacentral:rRNA from 1 species